rnacentral:rRNA from 1 species
AUGAAAGAAGAACAUGGCGCUCUCCUUCUCAACAACACGUGGUCUCUCGUCCCUCGCCCCUCUGGUGUCAAUAUCGUCUCCGGCAAAUGGGUGUUUCGUCAUAAGUUCCAUUCUGACGGCUCUCUUUCUCGCUACAAAGCUCGUUGGGUCUGUCGUGGUGACUCUCAGCAACCUGGCAUCGACUUUGACGAAAUGUUUUCUCCGGUCGUUAAACCGAGCACCAUCCGCGUUGUUCUUAGCUUAGCCGUCUCCUCUUCGUGGCCCAUUCAUCAGCUUGAUGUUAAAAAUGCCUUUCUCAAUGGCUCUCUGACCGAAACUGUAUAUUGUAGACAGCCUCUCGGUUUCUCUCACCCCACACUCCCCGACCACGUUUGUCACCUCCAGAAGUCUCUGUACGGGCUCAAACAGGCCCCGCGUGCGUGGUUUCAAUGA